AUGGUCGCCGUCGUGCCCCCGCCUCCGGCGCCUCUCCCCGCCGCCGCUCGCGGCCGAAGCCGGAGCCCUCGUCGAGGCGGGCUUGAUCCCCGCCAUGGUUGCGGCGCAGCAGGCCACGCUGCACGCGCAGGUGGACCAGCUCCAGCGCCUCGUCGUCAACCCGCUCGCCCAGGAGAUGGUCAGGAGCCCCUCCCCUUUCUCCAAUCUCUGCAUCGUCGGCUCUGCGCGCAGCUCCGCGAGGCGGAGUGCGAGGCCGUGGUGGCCGUCCUCGCGCCGUAG
rnacentral:rRNA from 1 species